AAUAAAUGCCACCAUUCAGGUGCCUCUUACGAAGGGGAGAAUAGGGAAGUUCGGACAGAUGCCCGCCAUCUGUAAACGACGCGGUCGCGCCACUGUAAUCGGGGAAGCGUGCUGAGUAUGCCACCGGCAACGGGAAGGUUCAGUACGGUGAUGAUCCGGAGCCAGGAGACCUGCCUGAUUUGGCUGCCAUUU
rnacentral:ncRNA from 2 species